rnacentral:lncRNA from 1 species
AAACCAAAAUCCACAAAUAAAUCCCAAACCUAAAGUCCACAAAUAAAUCCUAAAACCAAAAUCCACAAAUAAAUUCCAAAACUAAAAUCCACAAAUAAAUCCCAAAACCCAAAGUCCACAAAUAAAAUUCCAAAAUCCAAAGCCUCUCAAAUCUAAACAACCGAAACGUCGUUAAACUAAACCCAAAUUCAAACGACCAAAAAGUCGUUAAACUAAACCCAAAUCCAAACGACCGAAACGUCGUUAAACUAAACCCAAAUUCAAACGACCGUAAAGUCGUUAAACUAAACCCAAAUUCAAACGACCGUAAAGUCGUUAAACUAAACCCAAAUACAAACGACCGUAAGUCGUUAAACUAAACCCAAAUUCAAACGACCGAAAAGUCGUUAACUAAACCCAAAAUCAAACGGCCGUAAAGUCGUUAAACUAAAUCCAAGUCCAUCAUGAACCUUUUUUUUUACUCUAGCACAUAUAUCUAGAGUGAAAAUUAAAUAUCGACUACCCCUAAUAAAUAUACUUAGGGCUAAAUCGAUCGCCUUAGCACAUAUAACUAAGGCAAAAUAUCUCCAAAUCGACAGAGUUCUUAAUCAUAUACUUAGAACUCAGUCAAAUGAUAUCAAAUUCAUUUGGACUCUAAUACAUAUACUUAGAGUUCAUCCGACUAACCCUAUACAUAUCCUUAGAGUCUAGUCAACCUUUUGCUCUAGCACAUAUACCUAGAGUGGAAGUCAAACCGUGCUCGACUAGUCCUAACCCAUAUACUUAGGGUCUAGUCAGCCUUUUGCUCUAGCACAUCUGCCUAGAGUGAAAUCCAUACCCGAUCGAGUUCUAACACAUAUACUUAGAACUCAUACAAAUCAAAUCCGACUACUCCUAAUACAUAUACUUAGGGCUUAGUCAGAUCUUCACUCUAGCACAUAUAACUAGAGUGAAAACAUAUCAAACUCGGCUAAUCCUGAUACAUACACUCAGGAAUUAGCCACUCUCGGGUAAUAUCAAAUUCGACCCACCUCAAUACAUAUACUUGAGGUCUGGUCACAUCUCCACCCUGGAAUAUACAAUCAAGGUGAAUAUAAUCGGACUCUAAGACAUAUACUUAGAGCCAAUUAGACUCUAUACAU